ACCUCGUUCGGUAUAAGGGUGAAGUGGGUCGUCUCCAUACCCCAUCUGGUCUGGACACCAAGUGACCAAGUCUCCAUACCUCGUCUGGUAUGAGACAACGUUCACGGUAGGGUUCCCUAUGAACCGGUCCAUCCACCAUCUUCCAGAAUAUCUAGUGAGGUUGUCAUCUUAUCCAUUUAUCAAAUCCCAUCCCAUUCCUAUUUGUCCUUAGUCUCCGUUACCAACUCAGACAUGAAUACAUACACAAGUAACGUGCAUCGAACAAAGCAAGCAUAUCUUAGAUUUCCAAAAUCAAACAGUAGUGAAGUAAGCAGUGAUACAUGUAUUUAAAAUCAUAGAAUAAAUAAAUAAGAUACCAUAAUGCAUUUAAACUUUAAAAU
rnacentral:lncRNA from 1 species